UACGGAGGGUGCAAGCGUUAUCCGGAUUCACUGGGUUUAAAGGGUGCGUAGGCGGGCAGGUAAGUCAGAGGUGAAAUCUCCGGGCUUAACCCGGAAACUGCCUUUGAUACUAUCUGUCCUGAAUAUGGUGGAGGUAAGCGGAAUAUGUCAUGUAGCGGUGAAAUGCUUAGAGAUGACAUAGAACACCUAUUGCGAAGGCAGCUUACUACGCCUAUAUUGACGCUGAGGCACGAAAGCGUGGGGAUCAAACAGG
rnacentral:rRNA from 1 species